AUGCUCACUAAAAAGAAGAGCACGAGACGCGCAGCGCAUGCUUUGUCUGAAAAAAAACCGAGACGCGCAUCCUCCACUUCACAGCCAUUGCCUCGCAGCAGCCACCACCCUCGCCGCCGCCGCCGCCGCUAUCCGUUCCGACCACCAUUGGCGCUCUCACGGACGACCUCCUCCGCGAGGUCUUUCUCCGCCUCCCGGACCUCCCGAGCCUUGUCUGCGCGGCCUUCACCUGCCGCCCCUUCCUCCGCGCCGUCCGCUCUCUCUCCGCCCUUCCGCCGCCGCUUCCGCGAUCUCCACGCACCGCCCCUGCUCGCCCUCUUUCGCGAACCCGGCAUGAGCGCUGUCGCCCCUGCCGCAAGCCGCAGCUCCGACCCGGCCAUCGCCGGCGCCUUCGCAGAUUUACUCCGAGACGACGACGCGUCCGAGUGGAGGACAUAUUCUCAGAUCCCCUGCUCCGACGGGUUCGUCCAGUUCGUCAACCGGAGCACCGAGCGGGUUGUCUCCUACAACCCCCACAUGCUGGCUCUGGCUAUCUUCCCAGAGAAGCCUCACGAUGAACCCUACCUUGAGUUCCACACGCUCCCUCCCGACCAAGAGUACCAGAGCCCAUACCGUGUGGUUGUGUCCGUCACGAUUGCUCAUGGGCGUGCGCGCGCGUGGCCGUCUUCUCAUCUGACGCCAUGA
rnacentral:rRNA from 1 species